AGUGAGUCAAACAGAUAAUGUGAUGGGCCUGGCCAGAUUCACCAACAAAGGCUGAUGUGAAAGUUGUGAUGAAUUAACUUUGGGCUUGUUGACACCUUAACUGUGGGACUUUUAGGUAAUAUUGGCAUGUCCACGACAAAUAACAGUCCUUCCCUUGCCCUGGAAACAACCAAAAGUCAUAUUACAUGAAUCUAGGCUCUUCCGAACUGUUUUUGCUGCUUUGAAUGACAUCCAUUCCUGGGCAUUUGCAUUAUGAACAUUCGAUGUAAUUGGAAAAUUCACAACAUGAACAAUAAGGAAAGCCGGGGAGAGAUGUCUACAUUCAUUGAAUUUGGAGCAGCUCAAGUUGGGGCAAAAAUGGAAUUUAUGUGGCACUUCUUUUAAAACUCAUUAAUAUUCUGA